ACAUCCAUAGCCACAGCUUCUUCAUCAAGUGUAACAUCAACAGGUGAUAGUGGUCCUCAAGUUUCCUACGAUGGACUACAGAUUUCUAGCAAUAAUAACUGUCACUUUAAUUUUCAUAUUCAUUAUAAUAAGUAGUUGUUUGUAUUUCAAUAAAAGCAUUAUUUCUUAACGGCCGCAUAUGCGUCCGUUAUUUUUUAACGGACGCCGUCCGUUAUGAAUGAUAUUUCAUUUGUCAAAUGAGUUGAGUUAAAUUGAAAUAACAGUAUGGGAUGACGAAAAAUUAUUUCUGGCCAUUGACCGUUGUUUGUGUGAUUCUCGAAUUGGUUUUAGAUCGAAAUACGAUUUAACUACAUCGCUGCCAUUAGAAGGUCGAAACAAUUUAUUUCCAACCGUUCUCAUACAGUUACUGUUUUCUAAAUCACACUCCUAUAAAUUUGAGGUAUGCUAAUUUUUUGUGUUCGAAAGAGAAUUUGAAGAAAAAGCAGUCAUCUAAACUCAUGUCACAGGGUUUUCCACCAUUUGGCGUAUUUUCGCUAGUUUCCCAAUACCAAUCAAAUCAACGGAAAAGCAAUCUAUUAAUUGAUAUACUAAGAAUAUUAGCAAGGAUUUCGAAUACUAAGGUUUUAUUAUUAUGUGCCCUGAAUUUAGAAGAAAUCGCUACAUUACGGUUAAGGCAGUGGACGUUAGAUAAUAAUGAAAUUGUCCUUGCGAGAAUCAGAAAAAGAUUGCGGCGAUAAAAUAAUCGUAAACCAACUUGAUCAUUAGACUUUAAAAGUUUACUGUUUCAAGACCCCACGAAUUCUCUUGAUUAACUAAUAAAUUAUGAUACUGGUCUGCUAAAAUCAAUUAAUAAAGAUUGUUAGUAAAGGUAAUAAAUAACAGUUAAGAAACAGAAUGAAGUAGUUAGCAAAGGACCCAUUCACGACCCUCGAUAUUAAAGGCUAAGAUAUAAUACAGUAUUCUGUAUUUUUUCUUAAGGGUAAUUUAAUUAGAACUAUACUGAUAAGAGAUUUUUAACGGUCUUUGCCGGUAUCAUUUAAAAUAGGGAAACGUAAAAAUCCGUCUAGGUCAGGAUCAAAAGUGCGUGUUUUAAUUUAGUCUCAAUCGUAAUCAGAAAAGAGUUAAUCGGCUUAUCUUGUAAUAAAUCGGUUGGAGAGAAAUCUCGUCUUUUAUUUCAUAAACGUAAUAAAAUACUUCUUGUGGAUAUCGAAUAUAAACAUAAGUUACUUCGUUUAGGAUAUUUGUCAUCAACCCUUACAUACUUUACGUAGUAUAUAGUAUUGGAUUUUUCCUUUAAACCAACGCAUAAGUCAGACUCUAUAGGAGAUUCAAAUAUAAAUGUGUAU